rnacentral:rRNA from 1 species
AACGUCUGACACAGGCGCUGCAUGGCUGUCGUCAGCUCGGUGUCGUGAGAUGUUGGGUUAAGUCCCGUAACGAGCGCAACCCUUGUCCUUAGUUACCAGCACGUUAUGGUGGGCACUCUAAGGAGACUGCCGGUGACAACCGAGGAAGGUGGGGAUGACGUCAGGUCAUCAUGGCCCUUACGGCCUGGGCUACACACGUGCUACAAUGGUCGGUACAAAGGGUUGCCAAGCCGCGAGGUGGAGCUAAUCCCAUAAAACCGAUCGUAGUCCGGAUCGCAGUCUGCAACUCGACUGCGUGAAGUCGGAAUCGCUAGUAAUCGUGAAUCAGAAUGUCACGGUGAAUACGUUCCCGGGCCUU